UUCAGCGAGAAUUCUCACUCUCCUACUGGGCUCACUUCCCUCAUUUACUACCCAAAUAAGUAUAUCCUGAUGCAUCCUUUAGUCCCUCUUUUUUAUUCUUUGACACCCCAGUUGUCAACUGUGCUCUGCAGUCUUCUCUGCUCCCCAGUACCCUGUCUGAAACACUGAUCCAAAAGGGACCCCACCCCCACACACAUCCAAAAGAUCCCUCCCCAUAUCUGUUUCCUAAGGAGAGGCAAAAUGGUGGUAGGUAUUUUAUUUUGUUUUUCUGUGUCUAAAUAAGGGGACGAAAUAAACUCAGGAAAAGGAAAGACAACAAGUACUUGAGAAGCUGGGAUUCACGUCCAUUACUACCUCAGCACGGAGAGCAAGAGUUUUUAACAUUGAUGAUGAUGGUGGGUGCCUACAGGCCUCAACCUGUUGGAUGCAGCCCUGGCUCAUGAGAAUCCAUUCAGCCCAAAGUUGAACCAAUAAGCGCUGUGAUUCUUCUCUGCUGUUGAAUAGCAAGCCAUCUUGGGAUGGGAUAAACAAGAUGUAAGGAGCCUUGUUCCCUGAAGCACUGCAUGGAGGAGAGCAGCCCAUCAACCAGGAACAUCUGCCUUGGACUGUAACAUAGGCAAGAUACAAACUUUUGUUGUAACAAAUUAUUGAAAUUUGGGGCCUCUUUAUUCCCUCAGCCUAGCCUAACCUAAUACAUCCCAAUCCUCACCUGGCAGGAGUCGUCUUGUCAGUCAGGACUCAAUUUAAAUAUUACCUUC